rnacentral:rRNA from 1 species
ACUCCUACGGGAGGCAGCAGUGGGGAAUAUUGGACAAUGGGCGGAAGCCUGAUCCAGCAACGCCGCGUGAGGGAUGACGGCCUUCGGGUUGUAAACCUCUUUCAGUAGGGACGAAGCGCAAGUGACGGUACCUACAGAAGAAGCACCGGCCAACUACGUGCCAGCAGCCGCGGUAAUACGUAGGGUGCGAGCGUUGUCCGGAAUUAUUGGGCGUAAAGGGCUCGUAGGCGGUUUGUCGCGUCGGGAGUGAAAACACCGGGCUUAACUCGGUGCUUGCUUUCGAUACGGGCAGACUAGAGGUAUGCAGGGGAGAACGGAAUUCCUGGUGUAGCGGUGAAAUGCGCAGAUAUCAGGAGGAACACCGGUGGCGAAGGCGGUUCUCUGGGCAUUACCUGACGCUGAGGAGCGAAAGUGUGGGGAGCGAACAGGAUUAGAUACCCUGGUAGUCCACACCGUAAACGUUGGGCGCUAGGUGUGGGGCCUAUUCCAUGGGUUCCGUGCCGCAGCUAACGCAUUAAGCGCCCCGCCUGGGGAGUACGGCCGCAAGGCUAAAACUCAAAGGAAUUGACGGGGGCCCGCACAAGCGGCGGAGCAUGCGGAUU